rnacentral:rRNA from 1 species
AACGCGAAGAACCUUACCAAGGCUUGACAUAUAGCGAAAAGUGGCAGAGAUGUCAUGUCCGCAAGGGCGCUAUACAGGUGGUGCAUGGUUGUCGUCAGCUCGUGUCGUGAGAUGUUGGGUUAAGUCCCGCAACGAGCGCAACCCUCGUCCUAUGUUGCCAGCACGUUAUGGUGGGAACUCAUGGGAUACUGCCGGGGUCAACUCGGAGGAAGGUGGGGAUGACGUCAAAUCAUCAUGCCCCUUAUGUCUUGGGCUGCACGCAUGCUACAAUGGCCGGUACAAAGUGCUGCGAUACCGUAAGGUGGAGCGAAUCCCAUAAAGUCGGUCUCAGUUCGGAUUGGGGUCUGCAACUCGACUGCGUGAAGUCGGAAUCGCUAGUAAUCGCGAAUCAGAAUGUCGCGGUGAAUACGUUCCCGGGUCUUGUACACACCG